CCUACGGGGGGCAGCAGUGGGGAAUAUUGCACAAUGGGCGCAAGCCUGAUGCAGCCAUGCCGCGUGUGUGAAGAAGGCCUUCGGGUUGUAAAGCACUUUCAGCGGGGAGGAAGGCGGUGAGGUUAAUAACCUCAUCGAUUGACGUUACCCGCAGAAGAAGCACCGGCUAACUCCGUGCCAGCAGCCGCGGUAAUACGGAGGGUGCAAGCGUUAAUCGGAAUUACUGGGCGUAAAGCGCACGCAGGCGGUCUGUCAAGUCGGAUGUGAAAUCCCCGGGCUCAACCUGGGAACUGCAUUCGAAACUGGCAGGCUAGAGUCUUGUAGAGGGGGGUAGAAUUCCAGGUGUAGCGGUGAAAUGCGUAGAGAUCUGGAGGAAUACCGGUGGCGAAGGCGGCCCCCUGGACAAAGACUGACGCUCAGGUGCGAAAGCGUGGGGAGCAAACAGGAUUAGAUACCCUAGUAGUC
rnacentral:rRNA from 1 species